rnacentral:lncRNA from 1 species
AAGGGAAAAACAAUGUCGUCGAAGGUGGCUCUGAAGGCGAAAGGGAAAUCAAGCAAAGGAUCAAAGCCAUCACCUGAUAAUUCACCAUCAAAGCUCUUGAAGGAAUGGAGCACAUGGACCAUGAAGAAGGCUAAAGUCAUCACGCACUACGGAUUCAUUCCGUUGGUUAUCAUCAUCGGUAUGAACUCCGAGCCUAAACCCUCAAUUUCUCAGCUUCUCAGCCCCGUUUGAUCGGUAAUAAUCCUUCAGUAUUCGUCGACUUGAAUCCUGAAACGAAUCAAUUUACUCUAUGUUGAAAUAUCGACUGUUCCCGCGAGUUAGGGUUUAUAUUUUUCUGUUUUUUCGCAUCCUUCUGAUGGGUUCUUCCAGUUACCUGCUUGUCUCAUGAAGAAAUAAAAUUUAGGGAUUUUGUGAUGCAUCUAUCUUUAUUGAUAUCAAGUAUAUUAACUAUAUUUACAUACAAAUGGAUUUCUUGAUUUUGUUAUGUGCGAAAGAAAUUGGGGGUUUUUUUGUUUAUGAAAUCUUAGAUAGCUGCUUCCUUUGUUUGGUUUGGCUUUGUGUUUGAUUAUGUAAUGUGCACAUACACAUGUUCAUAUUGUGUGUUUAUUAUCUAUGAAUAUAUGCAUAUAUGCCUCUAGUAGAUAAAGACCGAACAAUUUUUGGUUCUUUAUGUGUAAUUUGAUGUUCGCCAUUAGCAUCCACAUUUUCGUUAAUCUUUUGGGGUUCUGAUUUCAAAGUAAUCUUUAUUUCAAAUAGUAGUAAGAAUUCGUGUAGGAUCAUAAUUUAAGUUUGAUUCCCACAUGAGCUUUUUCUAUGAAAGUGGCUUGUGGAGAAGAAAUAGAAUUGUGGUUCUUGUCUGUAUUUCAAUGAACUUGAAGUCAUCUUUAGAGAAAAUGUGAAAAAAAUUGGAAUAAAGAAAACUGGAUUGGUUAAAGACUAAUCAUCUAUUUCAAAGUGAUCGACUUUCACAAUUAAUUUUAAACCGUUAUAUUUGUGAAAUCGUUAAUGUAAACAAACCCAAACAUUCGCAACAUAAUCUUAAGUUUUUGUUGGUGUGAAAUAUCUCAACAAAAUCUUUUUUUCUAGUCAUGCUAUCUAUAAACCAUUUGUAGUCAUGAUAUCCAACAAUAUAUGCCUGCAAUUAGCAAGAUUUUUGGGUGUUUCUUAUGGCCAUGUCCUUUCAAAGAUUUAAUCGUUUGGUUAAACAAUAAAUGUCUCUAUUCUUGUUAUUACCCAACUAGGUUAUAACCCGUGUAUUAUACGGUACACCGUAAAAUAACUUUGAAAAUUAAUAAACCUUAAAAAUAAUAAUACAUUAUAGUAAAAGGGUAUUAGCCCUUAAUCAUAGAUAAGAAACAAAAAAUAGUCAUAAAGGAAUUCCUAUAUAUGAUAACAAAGAAAUUGAAUGAUUAAAUGUUGAUUACACGUUUUGAUCUUCAAAUACUUCUGAUCUUCAAAUACUUCAACGAUGUUGUUUAAUUUUGAAUAUGUUUAUGAUCUCUAAAAUUUGUCAUUUAUUUGUAGGAUUCUAGAAAUCCUACAAUGCAACAUAUUGGAUAUCAAUGAGGAGGUCGUUUAUUUGUAGGAUUCUAGAAAUCCUUCUCGUCCGCUCACAAAUUUAGUAUUGUCGUGUGUGUAUCAUCGCAUUUUUGCAUUAUGUUCAAAGUAAGAGGAUUGGCUGCGACGUGAAAAUGGAGUUGCCAUGACACGUCUUCUUGAUUUUUGGGAACUUUAUAAUUUUGAUCUUUAUGAGCUCCAUAUUUUCCUUGUACUCUUCAACUAAGAAUUUAUCUGUAAAAAUAUGAUUUCAAAGGAGUAAUAAAACCAUGAAUUUAAAGGAGUAAUUAAAAAAAUAAAGUAAAACCAUGAAUUUAAAGGAGUAAUAAAAAAAGUAUCUACCUGAUAGAAAUCCCGAUUAUUCAAGGUCUGUCAAUAGUCCAAAAGUAAUUGUUCAUGGUGUUUGCACACGAAAAAAGAACUGUGUUUUAUAGUCCAAGAACAGUCAUAAAAUGAAGUAGAAUGUUUUUUAUAGUAGGUUGCAAUAAAAAAGCUAUUUUUCUGUAAAGUAAGAUGCUAUAAAAUGCUAUUUUUAGUAAAAAAAAAUUUAAAUAGUAAAUAAAUAAACAAAUAAAUAAAUGUUUUACAAUCCCAAAGCAAUAAAAAAAAACUUUGUUUUUCACUUCCAAAAAUUGAUUGAUUUUAAACAACCGGUUAAAUCUUCAACUGAGGGUAUCUUGCAUAUAUUGGGCUCUUCACAUUUUUGCCCAUGGUUCCCUUAAUGAGUGUUGGCUGCUUAUCGGUCUUCGGUUGUUUUUGUUUUGGUUUGUCAAGAAAAAAGAUAGUUCACACCGGAUGUGCAUUGAUUACCGAGAGUUGAACAAGCUGACGGUCAAGAACCGUUAUCCGCUACCGAGGAUCGACGAUCUGUUCGAUCAGUUACAUGGCGCGUCUUGGUUUUCCAAGAUCGACUUAAGGUCUGGAUAUCAUCAGACGAGGGUCCGCGAGGAGGAUAUCCAUAAGACGACCUUUAGGACUCGUUAUGGGCAUUACGAGUUCAUAGUGAUGCCUUUUGGGCUCACCAACGCACCGACAACAUUCAUGGAUCUCAUGAACCGGGUGUGUAUGCCUAUUUUGGAUCGAUCGGUGAUCGUGUUCAUCGAUGAUAUUUUGGUGUACUCGAGAUCCAGAGAGCAACAUGAUUAGCAUUUGAGAGAGAGAUUCUUGGGGUAUUGAGAGUGGAGAGGUUUUAUGCCAAAUUCUUCAAGUGUGAUUUCUGGUUACGAGAGGUCCAAUUCCUGGGACACCUCGUUAAUCAGAAUGAGAUUUUGGUCGAUCCGGCCAAGAUUCAGGCAUUUAUUAGAUGGGAAGUACCAAGAUCCCCCUACCGAGAUCAGGAGUUUUCUAGGGUUGGCCGGCUACUAUCGGAGAUUUAUCAGGGAUUUCUCCAAGAUUGUCGUCCCCCUCACCAGGUUGACCCGGAAGGGUGUUGCUUUUACUUGGGGUCCCGAGCAGCAGACCUUAUUUGAGACUCUUUGCCAGCGAUUGUGCGAAGCCCCGAUGUUAGCCCUUCCCGAGGUAAUGAAGGACUUUGUGGUUUACUGUGAUGCAUCUAUAUCUGGGUUGGGUGCGGUGCUAAUGUAGAGAGAGCACGUGAUAACAUACGCAUCGAGGCAGUUGAAGCCUCAUAAGACGAGGUAUCCCACCCACGAUCUUGAGCUGGGGGCGGUGGUGUUCGCCCUCAAGAUCUGGUGCCACUAUUUAUAUAGGGUUCGGUGUACCAUAUACACGGACCACAAGAGCCUGAAAUAUCUCAUUAUCAGCCCAAUCUGAAUAUGCGUUAGAGGAGGUGGUUGGAUGUGGUGAAAGACUAUGACUGUGAGAUCCUGUAUCAUCCGGGCAAGGCUAACAUGGUAGCCGACGCCCUGAGCCGUCGAGCAGAGAGUGCCCCGAUUCGGGACAUGUGUAUGAGGAUGACAGUGAUGACUCCAGUUUUGGAUACCAUCCGAGAGGCCCAGGCGAAGGCCGUGAGACUGGAGAAUCGCAAGAGGGAGCGGGUGAUUAGACAGGUUUCAGAGUUUGUGACGGAUAUUCGAGGACUUAUGACUUUUCGAGGGCGGAUUUGGGUGCCCUAUACGGGCGGAGCUCGAGGUAUACUGAUGGAGGAGGCACAUAGAUCGAGAUUCUCGAUCCAUCCUGGGGCCACUAAGAUGUAUUUGGCCCAGAAGUGAGAUUACUGGUGGCCCUGUAUGGAGAUGGAUGUUGCGUGGGUAGUUGAGAGGUACUUGACCUGCCACGGGUCAAGGCAGAGCACCAACGACCACAUGGUCCAUUGUAACCUUUAGAGAUUCCCCAGUGGAAGUGGGAGUAGAUUACCAUGGAUUUUAUCACCAAACUAUCGAGAACGGCGUGUGGUGUUGACGCGAUUUGGGUGAUUGUGGAUCGACUGACGAAGAGUGCUCACUUCCUUGCUAUUAGUGACAACUCUUCUACAGAGAGAUUGGCUGAGAUUUAUGUGAGAGAGGUGGUAGCACGGCACGGAGUGCCAAUCUCAAUAGUGUCGGAUCAAGACGUGCGAUUUACUUCCAGGUUUUGGAAGAAAUUUCAUGAGGAGUUGGGCACGCACCUACAUUCAGCACUGCGUACCACCCGCAGACAGAUGAGCAGAGUGAGCGUACGAUACAGACACUUAAGGACAUGCUGUGUGCAUGUGUCAUGGACUUCGGAGGAAGUUGGGACACCUACAUACCACUGGCUGAGCUUUCUUACAACAACAACCACCAUUCGAGUAUUAGUAUGCCUCCAUAUGAGCUUCUUUACGGGAGGAGGUGUCGGACUCCCAUUUGCUUGGGAUAGGUGGGAUAGAGAGUGAUGGGUGACACCGAAAUAGUGCUGAAGACAACUGAGCAGAUUCAACAAGUCUGACAAAGGCUACUGACGACACAUAGUCGCUAGAAGAGUUAUGCGGACAGGCGACGAUCCGAGCUAGAGUUUCAGGUCGGAUACUUUGUACUCCUGAAGGUAUCCCCUUGGAAGGGGGUGAUCUAAUUCAGGAAAUGGGGAAAGCUGAGACCCCGAUACAUCGGUCCUUUUAGAGUGACCGCCAGAGUAGGCAGGGUAGCAUACCAAUCAGAGCUACCUGCAGAGUUGAGCCAGAUCCACAACACCUUCUACGUGUCUCGGUUGACGAAGUACGUGACCAAUGAGAUGGCAGUAGUACCGCUAGAGGAUAUUUAGGUGGAUGCGUGCCUGAAUUAUAUUGAAAGGCCGAUCGCGAUUUUGGAUCGAAAGGUGAAAGUUCUGAGGAACAAGGAAGUGCCCCUGGUCCAAGUCCAGUGGCAACAUCGGAGGGGGUCCGAGUUUACUUGGGAGCCGGAGUCACAGAUGCGGGAGCAGCAUCCAGAAUUAUUUGUGGAGCAUGACUUCGAGGGAGAAGUCUAAUUCUAGUGGGGGAGAAUUGUAACAUUUGUAAUCCCAGGUACAUCAUUUUGAUUAUUUAUUUUUAAAGUUUAUAGAAUGACUCGACGAGUUGGUGUUAUGACUCGUCGAGUCGUAUCACGAAUGGCCACGUGGAUUUAAUGAUCUACUCGACGAGUCCGAGAUGCGACUCGCCGAGUAGGCGCUGGAUUGAGAAACCCUAAAUCCCUGGGGUUGGGACCUAUUUAAAGGCACUUAUAGCCUCCUUAUGCGGCCACACUUCACAGAGAGAAACCCUAAACCUGCCCAUUCAUUGUGUAGAGAGAGAGAGAGAGAGAGAGAGAGAGAGACCAAAUUGAUCAUUCUUGUGCUUUUUGAAGGAAGAUUUGAGGAGCGUUGUGGAUCUUAUCUAGGAGAGGCUGUGGAUCCAGUGUUCUUCUAUCAUUAGCAUCGGUUUAGAGGUAAAAAGCUCUCACAUUGGCCGCAUAUUUCGUUAGAUCUCAUUUUUGGGAGUUUUUAGGGCUUUCUUACAAUCAUCUUGUGUCCUUGCGUUAUUUGAGCAUGGUUUGAGGUUAGAACCUUAGAUUUGGACUAUAGGAGGCCUUGAGAGUCCAAAGAUCCGAGCUUUAUUAAGCUAGGGGCAGGCUUAUGAGCAUCUAACCUUCCUUUGGAGCUUGUAAUGGCAUUAUGGAGCAAAUAUGCCAUGCAUGAACGUAAAGAUGAAAGCUUUACGUGACAAUCGAGCCUAGGGAGCCUAAAUGUAGUAGUUGGAGUGAUAGAUCAACCCUAAAACGUCUGAAUGGGAGUAGAGACUAAAUGAACUCGCCGAGUCCAUGAGCUGACUCGACGAGUCGCUUAGGGUUUAUCCCGAUAAGUCUGAGCAUGUUGUAAUUCGUCGGGUUAACGGGUCAAAUCGAUGAGUAGAGUUGGUUUACAUAAGGUCUCUGAGGGAACGAGGGGACUCGACGAGUCCAGUCCUCCUGAUGCACUCGUUGAGUUGGGUCAACAUGGACUGUUGACUCAAGUUUGACUUCGGUUGACUUUUAGAGUUUUGACCAAAUGUGAGUAACCGAGACCUUGGAGGGGUAAAAUGGUCUUUUACCCUUACCAAGAGUUAAAAAGGGGUUAAUAUGAGUUUAUUAGAAUUGUGGUCUAAUUAGAGAUAAUCAUCACAUGUAUUAGGCGGAGCCUAGAUCGGCGAUUCGUGUACAAGGUGUUUUAGCUUGCUUGCUUCGAGGUGAGUCUUCUCACUAUACCUUACCUAGAGUGGUAAUUAUGUGUGACAAGAGGGUCUUACGUGCUUGCUUGGGUUAUGCAUUUUCUGUGUGUUAUAUGUGUUGUAUGUUAUAUUAUGUGAUAUUUAGACCGGACCGGAGGGUCCAACGAACUAUGAGAUUGGAGGGUUCUCAACCAAACCGGACCAGAGGGUCCAACGAGCCAUGGGACUGGAGGGUCCCAACCAGACCGGACCGGAGGGUCCAACGAGCUGUGGGAUUGGAGGGUGCCACUGAGACAUUUGUGCGUGGUAUUUUGGAGAACUCACUAAGCUUUGUGCUUACCGUGUUAUGUGUUUCAGGUACCAUCGAUGAUCGCGGGAAGGCACCGACUUGAUUGUAUACACACAUCGAGCUGGAGUUAUGUUUAUUAUGGAUCCUGGAGUUGUGAAAAACUAAUUUGAAAUAUGUUUUGACAUUGAUACUUAAAGUUUUGAUAAAUAUGAUAUGUAAUUUACCGUGUUUUAAAAAUGAAAAAUUGGUUGAAAAUUUUACGUCGUUACAUUUUGGACAUGUAUUAAAUGAACAGGGGAAAGGAGAGUCCCAUUCCUCAUGUUCAAACUAUGACAAAUUUACAAAAUAGUCCAUAUAUUUUCCAUUUUUACACUUAACUCGCCUUUUUAAAUUAUAUUAUUCUUAUAUAUAAUUUCAACUUUCAUCAUUCUCUAUCAGCUUUAUAACAUUUUAAGUCCUGACCAAGUUAUAUGGGUCAGUUAUUGGUUAACUCUCAAAUUUCUCCAAAUUUACGCUUUUAACCUAAAUGUAUUCAUUUUAGGUUUUCAUCACAUAUAUAUUUUUUAUAAAAAUCUAGUUCCUUGAUUAAUAUUGUUAUUAUUAUGAUUAUUUUUAUUAUCUAUAUAGUUUCUUAAAUUUUAUUUUAUUUUUUGAAAAGUUGAAAAUCAUUGCAUAUGAUUAAUAUGCCAACAACAUAUAAGACCAUGAUUGUAACAAUGUUCUCAUUAGCUAUAAUGAAAAACAUUGGACAUAUCUUUAUAAUGAACAAGUUCAAACUCUUUUGAUCUUCUCAUCGACAAGACUUAUGUUCCUAAAUAUAUUCAUUUUAGGUUUUCAUCAUAUCUGUUUUUAUAAAAAUCUAGUUCCUUGAUUAAUAUUGUUAUUAUUAUGAUUAUUUUUAUUAUCUAUAUAGUUUCUUAAAUGUUGAAAAUCAUUGCAUAUAAUUAAUAUGGCACUAACAUAUAAAACCAUGAUUGUAACAAUGUUCUCAUUAAGCUAUAAUGAAAAACAUUGGACGUAUCUUGAUAAUAAACAAGUUCAAACUCUUUUGAUCUUCUCAUCAAGAAGACUUAUGAAAAACAUUGGACAUAUCUUCAUAUGAAGUUUGUACAUUAUGAUACAAGAUUUCAAGAAUUGUAGGCACACCAUAUCUACAUGAUAGUAAUAAAUAUUGAGUUAUGUCAUUGAUUUUUUUUAAUAAAAAACAAAUAAAUGUUGUUAUGUAGGAUGAGAUUAAGAGGAAUGAGUAGGUAGUAUAGACUAAAAAGGAUGGAUAAUGUAAAAGUUUUAAGAUUUUCAUACUUUAUUUAUAUACUACAAUAUUGAGUUACAUCAUUAUUUAUUAACUAAUCGAAAUAAACAUCAAUAUGAGUGUUAAGGAGAUUACGAUCACCAGGGCCGGUCUUGAGGAAUUAAAUAUCCUCGAAGGCCCAUGACGAAUAAGAAAAAAAUGGUCAUUGUCGUUAUUAUAAGUUGUCAUUUUUAAAUAAAAAUAUAUAAUAAAAAAAUUAGGCCCUGUGUAGCUGUCCACUUUGACCCCCUCAACGCUCCCAUGACGAUCACAUACACAAAGGCUUACGAGACACCAUCCUAGUCUAAUUGUCGUAUUAGGUGGAAAGCAUGUCACUAUGUUGCUCUCUAAUAUCCACACACACAUAGAGAAAAAUACAACACCUCCAACCUGACUUCUAAGAUAGAUUUUUAACAAUUUUAAAAGUUAUUGACCUCUCCAAUAAUACAAUUACAAAUCCUUUUUGAUAUGAAUUUUUAGAUGAAAUUUUUUGUCAAAUUGAACACGGGCUAGUACGACCAAUAAAUACUGUUUUUGAUUUUACAUCUAACACAUUCAGUUAUUCAUUAGUUAUUUAUUAUUUAACUAGUUUAUAAUCCGGGGUAACCACGGUUAUAAAAUUAAUUAAACUUUUAUAAUAAAAAUUUAUAAUUAUUAAUCAGUUAUUUUAAAUAAUUCAUUUUCAAUAAAUUAUUAACUAAGAGAUAUGUUAAAAUUUUAAAGUUAUUAUAACCUCAAAUUUAAUAUAUAAUUAGAAAAUGUAAAUUUAAAUUUUGAAAUAAGUUGUCUAAUAUAUACAUAUGACAUAAUAUUAAUGUAAAAUUGUAUUAAAGUGAAACUUGAAAAAAAGAUAUUAAAACUAUUGAUUUGUAUAAUAGGGAUACUGUUACUUAGUGUUUGGUAAUUACCAAUUAUUUCCUAACUUCUAGUAUCUCGCAAAUUACUUAUAAAAACGUCAUCUCAUUUAUUGCUGGAAAUACCAAUUAUUUCACAAAAUUUUGGUUUGGUCCGACUUAAUGUUUUGUAACUAAAGUAUUUUCAAAAGUGACUCUAUGAUAUAUGAAAACUCAUGUAUUUUAUAUAAAAUACAAGAAGUUUUGAAAUCCUUUAAUGAAAAAAUACUUCAAAAUUUACAAGUUUACAAACAAGAAAAUUAUUUCGAUAUUUUAUGUACAAAAUGAUCAAAAGGUUUAAUGCGAUUUGAGAUAUAUUUUUUUGUGAUCAUCUCUUUGUUUAUGGUAGAAUUAGUCAAUUACUCAAUUUCGUUUGCCAAUCUAUUGGGCUUGUAACACAAGCCACCUACUUAUUAGACCCAAUUAUAUUAGGCCUAGGGCACCAUCAUUUCUAAACUGUAAACACCAUCGUCCAUUUUGCAGAGAAAGGGAGAAACAAUGUCGUCGAAGGUGGCUCUGAAGGCGAAAGGGAAAUCAAGCAAAGGAUCAAAGCCAUCACCUGAUAAUUCACCAUCAAAGCUCUUGAAGGAAUGGAGCACAUGGACCAUGAAGAAGGCUAAAGUCAUCACGCACUACGGAUUUAUUCCGUUGGUUAUCAUCAUCGGUAUGAACUCCGAGCCUAAACCCUCAAUUUCUCAGCUUCUCAGUCCCGUUUGAUCGGUAAUAAUCCUUCAGUAUUCGUCGACUUGAAUCCUGAAACGAAUCAAUUUACUCUAUGUUGAAAUAUCGACUGUUCCCGCGAGUUAGGGUUUAUAUUUUUCUGUUUUUUCGCAUCCUUCUGAUGGGUUCUUCCAAUUACCUGCUUUUUGUCAUGAAUUAAUUAAAUUUAGGGUUUUGUGAUGCAAUUAACUAUAUUUACAUACAAAUGGAUUUCUUGAUUUUGUUAUGUGCGAAAGAAAUUGGGUUUUUUUUUUGUUUAUGAAAUCUUAGAUAGCUGCUUCCUCUGUUUGGUUUGGCUUUGUGUUUGAUUAUGUAAUGUGCACAUACACAUGUUCAUAUUGUGUGUUUAUUAUCUAUGAAUAUAUGCAUAUAUGCCUCAAGUAGAUAAA